rnacentral:rRNA from 1 species
AGCAGCCGCGGUAAUUCCAGCUCCAAUAGCGUAUAUUAAAGUUGUUGCAGUUAAAAAGCUCGUAGUUGAAUUUCGGAGUUUGUCGGUUGGUCGGGCUUCAUUGUCCGCACUGACCUGAUGGAUUCCUACCUUCUGAAUAACCAGCAUGCUAUUAAGUUAGUGCGUUGGGGAAGCAGAGCUAUUACCUUAGAAAAAAUUAGAGUGCUUAAAGCAGGCUUAUGCUUGAAUAGAUUA